UCUUGACCACAUGCUAAUCGAACGUUUUAAUUGGUAGUUUACUACAUAAAUUAAAAAGUGGUGUACAGGUGAGUAUAAUGAUAUUCUUAGCCGACCUUAAAGUGGAGGUAAAUCCUUCAUAAUACAUAAAGGGAUAAGUAAUCCUGCUUUAAGAGGACAAUAAAUAUCUUCGGGAUAGGUAGUAGUUAAGGUGAUGGCUUAACUAGCCUAAAACUCUCGUAGUCGAAUCUGAAAGGUUGAUCGACCACAUUGGGUCUGAAAAAACCCCAAUGCAAGUUAGUACAGCAGUGAGGAAUCUUGGUCAAUGGCCUAACGGCUGAACUGGCAACUUGGAGAAGUGGCAAGUCUUAUUUUGAUUAUAUUAUUAUAUAUAAUCUAUAAGAUUGUAUUAAAAUUGAAUAAAGCUUUGUUUAUAUAUCGAUAAUGACGGUAUAUAUAUCGUGUCUUGGCUAAUUACGUGCCAGCAGCCGCGGUAAUACGUAAGAGACUAGUGUUAUUCAUCUUAAUUAGGUUUAAAGGGUACCUAGACGGUCAAUAUAGCUUCUAUAAUGUUAGUACUUGACUAGAGUUUGAUAUAAGAGGGCAGUACUUGAGGAGGAGAGAUGAAAUUCUAUUAUACCAAAGGGACUCGGUAAAGGCGAAGGCAGCCCUCUAUGUAAAAACUGACGUUGAAGGACGAAGGCACAGAGCACAAACAGGAUUAGAUACCCAAGUAGUCUUUGCAGUAAAUGAUGAAUGUCAUAGGUUAGAUUAAGCUUUAAUUAAUUAGUUUAUCAGUAAUGAACUAACUAUUAAACAAUAUUUAGUCUAUAAAUGAAAGUGUAAGCAUUCCACCUCAAGAGUAAUGUGGCAACGCAGGAACUGAAAUCACUAGACCGUUUCUGACACCAGUAGUGAAGUAUGUUAUUUAAUUC
rnacentral:rRNA from 1 species